rnacentral:rRNA from 1 species
AGAGUUUGAUCUUGGCUCAGAACGAACGCUGGCGGCAUGGAUUAGGCAUGCAAGUCGCACGUGAAACCCGUUUUCGGAUGGGUGGAAAGUGGCGGAAGGGUGAGUAAUAUAUAAAUAACUUACCCCUUAGACCGGGAUAAGCUUUCGAAAGGAAGUCUAAUACCGGAUGUGGUGGGGAAGCACAAGCUUCCUUUACUGAAGAUGGGGACUUUUAGCCUGUCACUAAGGGAGAGGUUUAUAUCCUAUUAGCUUGUUGGUGAGGUAACGGCUCACCAAGGCAAUGAUGGGUAGCCGGCCUGAGAGGGUGUACGGUCACACUGGGACUGAGAACUGCCCAGACUCCUACGGGAGGCUGCAGUCGAGAAUCAUUCGCAAUGGGCGAAAGCCUGACGAUGCAAUGCCGCGUGGACGAUGAAGGCCUUCGGGUUGUAAAGUCCUUUCGGGAGGUAAGAAACAAGAGGCGCUAAUACCGUCUCUCUUGACGUCAACUCCUAAAGAAGCUCCGGCUAACUUCGUGCCAGCAGCCGCGGUAAUACGAAGGGAGCAAGCGUUGUUCGGAAUCACUGGGCAUAAAGCGCACGUAGGCGGGCAAAGAAGUUAAAAGUGAAAGCCCUGAGCUUAACUCAGGAACGUCUUUUAAAACCAUUUGUCUUGAGGAUGAGAGGGGUAACUGGAAUUCCUGGUGGAGCGGUGAAAUGCGUAGAGAUCAGGAGGAACGCCGGAGGCGAAAGCGAGUUACUGGUUCAUUUCUGACGCUGAGGUGCGAAAGCUAGGGAGCAAACAGGAUUAGAUACCCUGGUAGUCCUAGCUGUAAACGAUGGGUACUAAAAUGAGGUGCUUUUGUAUCUCGUUUCAAGCUAAUGUAUUAAGUACCCCGCCUGGGGAGUAUGGUCGCAAGGCUAAAACUCAAAGGAAUUGACGGGGGCUCACACAAGCGGUGGAGUAUGUGGUUUAAUUCGAAGCAACGCGAAGAACCUUACCUAGUCUUGACAUGGACGAAUUAUUCCUAUGAAAGUAGGAAGACACCCUUCGGGGCGGAACGUUCACAGGUGUUGCAUGGCUGUCGUCAGCUCGUGUCGUGAGAUGUCGGGUUAAGUCCCAUAACGAGCGAAACCCCUAUUUCUAGUUGCCAGCGGAUCAUGCCGGGGACUCUAGAGAGACUGCCUGUGUUAAGCAGGAGGAAGGUGGGGAUGACGUCAAGUCCUCAUGGCCUUUAUGACUAGGGCUACACACGUACUACAAUGGAUGGCACAAAGGGUAGCCAAGCAGCAAUGCGGAGCCAACCCCAUAAAACCAUUCCCAGUUCAGAUAGAAGGCUGCAAUUCGCCUUCUUGAAGCCGGAAUCGCUAGUAAUCGCGGAUCAGCUACGCCGCGGUGAAUAUGUUCCUGAGCCUUGUACACACCGCCCGUCAAGCCACGAAAGCCGAGAGGGCCCAAAGUCGCUCACCGAACCCGCAAGGGACGGAGGUGCCUAAGGUCAGAUUGGUGAUUGGGACUAAGUCGUAACAAGGUAACCGUA